UACGAAGGGGGCUAGCGUUGUUCGGAAUUACUGGGCGUAAAGCGCACGUAGGCGGACUAUUAAGUCAGGGGUGAAAUCCCGGAGCUCAACUCCGGAACUGCCUUUGAUACUGGUAGCCUAGAGAUCGGAAGAGGUGAGUGGAAUUCCCAGUGUAGAGGUGAAAUUCGUAGAUAUUGGGAAGAACACCGGUGGCGAAGGCGGCGACCUGGUUCAUUACUGACGCUGAGGCGCGAAAGCGUGGGGAGCAAACAGG
rnacentral:rRNA from 1 species